CUGGAUGUGAGUUCAGAGAGAUCUCGACAGACGAAUUGAAAUUAGGGAGACUCAUUGACCGAGCAUCAUUAGCAAGAGAAUAGUCCAAGGUGGCGUAACUGGAAGGUGAGAUUUUCUUGUUUUAUUCUUUGAAAAAGCAGCAGCAGCAGUUACAGUGCCCUAACUUGUUAGUUCUUAACCAAUGAUAAAGAGACGUUAACAGCUCCAGGUUUUUCUGUGUUUUUCUUAAUACAGGAGCUUAGCAAAAUGUAUUGUUAAAUGCAUUUUGGAGCUAAUGAGCUGAUUGAUUACCUCUCUGCCGAUUUAAAAUGUAACAGUGUGAAUAAUGUAUAGUGAAUUCAGGCCUUAAAGUUUAAUUCUAAUAAAGAUAAAAGUAGAAUUGUUUUCCUCUGGAAGCAUAAGCUACUGAUCACACAGAACACAGUUGUACCUGGUUUUAUUUUCUUUGAUGAAUUACUUAAUGUAUCAGUUGCUUAAAAAUUGCAGGUGGAAGGUGCCAGGUAAGUAUUAAGUCACAUUUUUUUCUAAUGACUUUCUCUGAGUUGAAUUCCCUGGGGCCUCUGACAGCAAAUGUGGCAGAGCUCCACAUGAUGCAGUGAGCUCUGGCAAAAUGUCCUGUGCACUGCUCCCCCUGGAUCUGUGCUCCUUUGCUUUUCAGGCUGGCCCUGGCAUGCUCCUCACCUUUUCUUCAAUUCAGACAUGAACUUUCUCCUUUCGGUGUGGUACCCUCCCAAGCUAUAUUUUAUUUCUAGAAGCAGUUGUGGGUUUGUUUUUUUUCUCAUGUGGCUGAAGUAAUUAGUCAGCUUUGGUGCAGGUCAGGGUGGAAGUGCUUGCCCUGCUAGUUAUGAUGAAUUAAAUGCUUGCAGUUUGUUUCAACCUAAUUGGACUUUCUUCAAGACUUACAAAUUUAGUCCCAGUGGCAUGUAUGAAUGCUGUUGGGACAUCAUUUGCAUACUGCUUUCAAGUUGCAGGUGGUAUUUAUGUCAUAUUUUUGGAACUGGUGGCCUGGAUUGUUGCUUCUCUCUUUUUUUUUUAAUGUUACAGCUUCAGAAAACAAACUUGCAUCCUUACCUUGUGAAUAUCUGCCUGUUUCUUUUUGUUGUCUCUCAGCAGCUUUUCUAUCCUUUAGCAAAUUGGAAACACGCUUUGCGGAAGGAAGAUUGAGUUUUUAGAGAGAACAAAUUGCAGCCAUCUUCCCAAAAACAGGAGAGGAGAGAAGUGUUCUCUGCACAUCAGAGUCCGUGCUGUAUAUUAGUUUUAGGAAAAGUACAAGCAGGAAACUGAGCUUCGCUGCUUCUGCUCAUCACUGAACUUGUUUCUCAGUUUUCCUUCCCUCAUGCUCUGAGUCUGCCCUCUGGUCUGAGCUAGCAAAGACCAAAAUAGUGGAUUAAAAUGUUUUCUGUGGCUCCAUUAUCUUCAUGUGCCAUAUGAAAUUAAGAAUACUUCUUGACAUAAGGUGUUUUUUUUUUUAAUGUGUGUAUUCCUCUUUUUUGCAGUAAAAGUGGAUCCAGAAUUUACUUCCCUGUGAACCAGCUUAAAGGGUGAUGCUGUCCUCUUUUCUUUUAACUUCACGCUACGGAUUAUCAGAAGUGUGCUUUGUAAAUCAUGUGCCAUGAAGAUGUUUUUCUGUAGUUAGCAUACACAUGCAAAUUUUUAUUUUGGGGAACUGUUCCUUGAAAGAAGGAGCAGUUCAAAAGUGUCCUGAAAAUACAUAUUUUUCACAGGUAACCUUGUUGUUUUUCUAUUCAUUACUUCAGUAUUUCCUCAGAUGUUGCCCUGUUUGUGGUGAGGGUAACAGUUCCCUGCUGCUCGCACUUGCUCUGUAGUCAGAUAAAGGAAGCCAUCAGACAGCUCUGGCUUUAUUGUAACAUCGCUUCUUCCUUCAGGUGUUAAUACGUUUGUUGGCUGGGAAAGCCACCUUUGAUCUUAUCUGCGCUCCAGAGAGUUUGUGAAGAAAAGAGUGAUUAUAUAGGGAUUGCUUAAGCUUACUUCUUAGAUGAAAAAGGAUGUCUUGUCAGUGAGUCUGUAUCUGAUACCCCUUAAUUAACAGUGGGGUAAAUGAUCUUUCUACUUCAUGGUCUUACAGCGAUUUACACUGAAGCCCCAUCCUAUUAUGGCAAUGCAAAGGGGCCCAAAAGGAGGUGUAAAUCCUACCUGUGCUUGUUUUAAAUGUGGAGGUGUAAAGGAAACUCGAUGUAGGAAUUGGGUCCUGAAGAUUUGUCUUGGCUAAUUGCUUGGUACAUAUCAUCUGCAGAGGCUGCUGUGGUUCCUUCAUGGCUUGCACUUGAGAAAGUCUCUGCAAGGUAAAGAGAGGCGUGUGGGUGGUGGAAAAUUCCCUUUCUGCCUAAGUUAGCUGCAUGCAUUCCUGGGCCGCUGCUGUGGGGAAGGUUUUGGAAUUAAAUUAUCCUCUUAGCAGCAAAGCCUGCCGUGCCCAGGCUGGUGAGGGUAGAACGCUCCCUCCCUCCCUCACGCCGAUGUGUUCUGCUGACUUCGGUGCAGCCUCGUAUAAAUCUCUAUUUCUGGGCUUUUAAUGCAAUUGCGUGCAACUGAGCUGUUGGUUGGUUUUCCUGUGUGUGGCUCUAGCCUGGGGUGCCUUGUCUCAUCGCUACCAGAGCGCCUUUGAAAGGUCUGCAGCCUGUUUUGCUGGGCAGCAGCAGAAGUUUCCUCUAUGAAGGGAGCAGCUUUAGUCAUGCUGCUGGUGGCAGCAGGCCAGUGUAAGAUCAGAGAUGGUGCUUCUCAGGGCUAGCUACUGUAAAGUCAUUAUUUUCCCUUUCAAUCCAGGAAGGAGUGAAAAGGAAAAAAGCUGCGUGUAAUAAAAAGAAACCCUGCUGGUAGAGAUUCCUGAUUAUUAAACCCAAACAACAUCUGGAUGAGCAAUGCUGAAAAAAGCAGCGAAACUCGCUUCAAAGCCCCCGGAGGUGCUGGGCUCCACGCUGAGUGAAACUUGCUGAAGCUUUACAGAAAGUGUUAGAAAAGCAAUGUGCUCCCCUGCCUUGUGUAUCUGCACACCCGAGAAGCUGCUGCUGACAAAAUGCACGUGGCAGACCUAAAACGUGAAGUAUGUGCUGUAAAUGUCUGCGUGAAAUCACAAAAAGGGGGGAAAAACAUACUUCUUUUCCAGUGAAAGCAUUAAUUAAAAAAAAAUCCUGAAGGUCACACGCUUGGAAAUGCAGUACCCACCUAGCUGCCAUAUACACUGCUUUGGGAUUGUGUAAAUCAUUUCUCAGCAGCUUGUGGGAUGAAAGUAAGUUUUCACACAGGGUGUACAUGGACCAUGCAGCACCUGCAUACCCUCUGGAAAGCUAUUUAAUACUGAGAACCCAGCCAAGGCUCCCAGCCAUGCCGAAACAAAUGGAUCUCAUCUAGGAAUAGUGUAUGGCUAUGCUGGAAGCUUACAAGAAGAAGAAAAAGCCUUUGUGGAAGAACUAGCUCUUUCAACAACUACAAUUUAGACACCUACUGGGAUUUAAGAAGUGAGAACAUUUUGUCUUAUUGAUCUUUUUUUUUUCUUCCUCCUUUCUGUAGCCUUUCUUUUUUAUUCAGUUUUCUCUCCCUUGCCCUGGGAGGUCUUUGGAUGAUACGCAAUAGCAUGACACGUCGUUCUUCUCCUGUCAGCUGGGUGGGAGAAGCUGUAGGAAAUACAAAAUGUUCUCUGUAAUUUUUUGGGGUGGACAAAGAGGAAAUUCAGAGCAGAGAAUUGUUAUCAAUUGCUUGUGGUGCUGGUGGUGAAACAUCCAGAUUGCAUGAGCUACUAAUUAGGUCUUUCAUGUGUUAGUCAGGAAUUGAGUUAAGGAAAAAUUAUUGCUGUUCUGUUCUGUAUUUGGAAGCUUUGUUCUUAUGUUUUGAAUGAGUUCCAGUAAG
rnacentral:lncRNA from 1 species